AGCGAACGCUGGCGGCAGGCCUAACGCAUGCAAGUCGAACGAACUCUUCGGAGUUAGUGGCGGACGGGUGAGUAACACGUGGGAACGUGCCUUUUGGUUCGGAGUAACUCAGGGAAACUUGUGCUAAUACCGAAUGUGCCCUUCGGGGGAAAGAUUUAUCGCCAUUAGAGCGGCCCGCGUCUGAUUAGCUAGUUGGUGAGGUAACGGCUCACCAAGGCGACGAUCAGUAGCUGGUCUGAGAGGAUGACCAGCCACACUGGGACUGAGACACGGCCCAGACUCCUACGGGAGGCAGCAGUGGGGAAUCUUGCGCAAUGGGCGAAAGCCUGACGCAGCCAUGCCGCGUGAAUGAUGAAGGUCUUAGGAUUGUAAAAUUCUUUCACCGGGGACGAUAAUGACGGUACCCGGAGAAGAAGCCCCGGCUAACUUCGUG
rnacentral:rRNA from 1 species